GACAGAGGAUGCAAGCGUUAUCCGGAAUGAUUGGGCGUAAAGCGUCUGUAGGUGGCUUUUUAAGUCCGCCGUCAAAUCCCAGGGCUCAACCCUGGACAGGCGGUGGAAACUACCAAGCUGGAGUACGGUAGGGGCAGGAGGGAAUUUCCGGGUGGAGCGGUGAAAUGCGCAGAUAUCGGGAAAGAACACCCGUGGCGAAGGCGGCUCUCUGGGACGGUACUGACGCUGAGACGCGAAAGCGUGGGAGCGAACAGG
rnacentral:rRNA from 1 species